UACGUAGGGUGCAAGCGUUGUCCGGAAUUAUUGGGCGUAAAGAGCUCGUAGGUCGGUUUGUUGCGUCGGCCGUGAAAACCUGCAGCUUAACUGUGGGCCUGCGGCCGAUACGGGCAGACUUGAGUUCGGUAGGGGAGACUGGAAUUCCUGGUGUAGCGGUGAAAUGCGCAGCAUAUCAGGAGGAACACCGGUGGCGAAGGCGGGUCUCUGGGCCGAAC
rnacentral:rRNA from 1 species